rnacentral:tRNA from 2 species
GGCCUUGUGGCGCAAUGGUAGCGCAGUGGAUUUCGGCUCCAAAGGUUUAGGGUUCGAGUCCCUACGGGGUCG